rnacentral:rRNA from 1 species
UACGUAGGGUGCAAGCGUUGUCCGGAAUUAUUGGGCGUAAAGAGCUCGUAGGCGGUUUGUCGCGUCGAAUGUGAAAACCCGGGGCUCAACCCCGGGCCUGCAUUCGAUACGGGCAGACUAGAGUUCGGUAGGGGGAGUCUGGAAUUCCAGGUGUAGCGGUGAAAUGCGUAGAUAUCUGGAGGAACACCGGUGGCGAAGGCGGCAUCCUGGACCGACAUUGACGCUGAGGCGCGAAAGCGUGGGGAGCAAACAGG